CUAAAAGAUUGCAUUUAAGCUCUAAUAUCACCAUUUUGAGUUAUUCAUCAAUACAAAUUUUUACACACACAAAAAAAAAAAAAAAAAAAAAUACACUCUCCCCCCCUCUGCCUCUCUAUCUACCUAUACCCUUCCUAUUCGCAUAAACCUUCCAGGGUUCCCAGACCUUACCAAACAUAUAAUAAGAAUGUCUUACUCUAGAUGAUAAUUCAUCCAUUAUAUAAUUUUCUUGAAUCUUUAAUUCCACCUCUCUCAUUCAUGGUAAAUCUAGAUUUAUCCAGCUAGCGGCUAUACAUCUACGUGCGGCCAAUAAAAUAAAAAAUAUUAAUUUCUGCGAAUGGCAGGG